UUUAGCCUGAAAUGUUCGAAGUAGACUAUUAUUUUGAACCUACAUUUGACGUAAGGGAGUCUGGAGUUUAAAAGUGUAUGUCAGGCCCUAAGAUAAUACCGACUUAUGCCAUGAGGCAUGAGCAACGGCAAGGGAAGGCAGAAACUUUUAACAGGACACCCACCUGGUUUAGGCUAGGUGUCGAAAAAUAGGGAAACGGCAUUUUGGGUAUUAA
rnacentral:other from 1 species